GGCGAGUUGGCGGAGUGGUUACGCAGCGGUUUGCAAAACCGCGUACACCGGUUCAAUUCCGGUACUCGCCUCCA
rnacentral:tRNA from 2 species